AUUGAUUAUAUACCAUAUUUGUCUAAAAGAAAAGAAAUAUUAGUAUGUCAGUUAGGUCCUGUUCUUGGUUAUUUAAUUUUUUUUUUUUUUUUUUAAUUUGAUUUGUGAGUCUCACUUUAUUUAGGCAUGUGCCUGCACAUUGUUUCUAGGCCUCAGGACCCUUUAAUGCCUUGUGUGCUUUGUGCUUUAAUAACUCUUAAUAGAUUUCUAGUGUGGGAUUCCCAAUAUUUUUUAAAUGGCUAAAUACAUUCUUAUACUAUAUACAAUUUGGGAUUAACGCAUGGAACUCUUGAAUAAAAUGGAGAUCUAUUGAAUGCUUGAACUUAUAAAAUUAUAAUAAUUAAACACAAAUUAAUUAUAUUAUCAAUUCUUGGUUUAAUGAAAAAUAUCUGAUCUGUAUUUUGUACUGUAUAUUGAAAUAAGUCUACAAUAUACAGGAUACCUAUUUAUAGAGUAUCUAGGACCUAUAGACUAAUAAAAAAUUCAGUUUCAACAAAGGAUUUAGAAACUGUCUUCUGUUUCUUGGUCUUCUAGCUAAUAAGGGAAUCUCCUAAGAAAAUAUAAAAUCCAGUAACAAAUUGCCUAGAAAAGAAACAAGUGGCUCAAUCUGCAUCACAAUAAGCUGAAAGAUUUGACAAGUUGGUUGUGGCAGAAAAAUAUAAUCCCUUAGUUGGAUAAGUCUUGAGAUAUCUUAAGACAAGACAGGCGGCAUGCCAAUGGGGCUUUUUAGGACUUGACAUAAACUUACUGAGAUAAUGAAUCGCAAAGCUAAUUUCAGGCCUAGUAAUAUUAAUGUAUAGCAAUUUGCCAACUAGUUGCAUAUAUUUAUUAGGCUCAUGAAGUAAAUCACCAGUAGAAGGAUCAAGAUUCAAACCUUUGGGUAGUGGAGUAGAAGCAUUCUUAGCAUGUAACAUUCCGGUAUCACUUAAAACGUCAGACAAACUUCCUCUGACUGAUAAGAGUACCAGAAGCAGAUCUGGCGAUUUCUAAUCCAAGAAAAUAUUUCAAAUGUCCAACAUCUUUAAUAGUAAAUUUGCAAUGUAAAGCACAUUUAGUCUAAUCAAUGACAAACAAAAUUGCUAGCUAUGAUCACAUCAUCUACAUAGAUAAGCAUAAUAGUAAAUGUACCAUUGUCAUCCCGUGUGAAAAGGCAAUUAUCAUGUAUUGAUUGAACAAAGCCCAAGGACUAGAGGAAGGACGUGAACUCCAAGUUCCAUUGCCGAGAAGCCUGUCUUAGACUAUAAAGUGACCGUUUUAAUAAGCAAACUUGUCCUGGACUAGCUUUAGAAUAACCUGCAGGAGGCUGCAUGUGUACUUUUUCUUCCAGGAAGAAGAAAACCAUGUAAAAAGGCAUUACUAAUGUCAAACUGAAAGAUAGGCCAAUUUUUAGAAGUAGUUAAGGCAAUAAAAAUUUGAAUGGUAACAACUUUGGCUACAGGAGAAAAACGAUCUUUAAAAUCUGAUCCCUCUACUUGAUUAUACCCCUUAGCCACUAAAUGGGUUUUAUAUCUGUCAACUUCCCCAUUGGGCUUAGUCUUAACCUUGUAUACCCAUUUGGAAUCAAUGGCCUUUUUAACUUUUGGAAGAUCGGUAAGUAUCUAGGUUCCAUUCUUUUCAAGAGCUAAAAGCUCAUGAUGCAUGGCUUCGACCCAAUUAGGAUUGCUUGAAGCUUGAGUGAAAGUGCAAGAUUCAUGAAUGUGAGAAAUUGUGUUAAGAUAAGUUUGAUGUGAAGAUGUAAAGUGAACAGAUAAAUCAAAGUUAGAAGUAGUGGAUAAAUGAUUCACAAUAAAGUCUUGCAUUCAAGAUGGUUUAUUGUGAAUUCUAGUGCUCUUUCUUAAAGGGAGAGUAGGAGAAAUGACCUGUUCCUGUGAAUGUGAUUGAGUAACACAAUCAGAUUGUGUUGGAGCCUGAAAAUUAGAGAAAGAACUUGAUGAUGCACAAUCAGAUUGUGUUGGAGCCUGAAAAUUAGAGAAAGAACUUGAUGCAUCAUCAGGCAAAUUGACAGGAAGGAUCAGAUUGUGUUGGAGCCUGAAAAUUAGAGAAAGAACUUGAUGCAUUAUCAUGCAAAUUGAUAGGAAGGAUUUGAAACAGAAGGCUCCUGAGAAGGAUGAUGUUGGAAAGGGAAAACAGAUUCAUGAAAAAGAAUAUCUCUACUGAUAAAGAUUUUUUUUGUGUCUAAGUUUUGUAAUCUAUAUCCCUUAUGAGUAGUGGAGUAUCCAAGGAGAAUACAUUUGGUAGAUCUAGGAUCAAAUUUAUCUUUUUGAGGGUUGUGAUUAAUGGCAAAGCAUAGGCAACCAAUGGUUCUUAGGUGAUCAUAAUUGGAUGGUUUAUGAAACAAGGCUUCAAAGGGAGUUAACCAACCUAAAGUUUUGACUGGUAUUCUGUUAAUGAUGUAGGUAGCGGCCAUUAUACACUCAGACCAAUAAGUUUUGGAAAUUGAGCUUGGAAUUAGAUGUCGUAACUAUGUUGAGAAGAUGCUUAUGUUUAAUUUCUGUUGUGCUGUUUUGUUAGGGUGUACAAAGGCAAGUAGUUUGAUGGACAAUGCCGUGCGAAGAAAACAAAGAAGCUCGCCUUUUAUUAAGAAAUUCUCCUCAAUUGUUGGAUCUUAUAUUUUUUAUUUUUGCUCCAAAUUGUGUAUUGACAUAUUGAAUGAUGUCAAAACAUAAUAUGUCUGAUCUUUAAACUAAGCAUAUAGGUCCAAGUUGCUCUAGUUUGUCAUCAAUAAUGGUUAAAAAAAAAAUCUAGCACCAGUGACAGAUUGAAUAGAAAAUGAUCUCUAUAAAUCCAUAUGCACCGGGAUUACCCUUGUGAAAGGGCAAUCUAGACAUUUUAGUUAGAGGACGUAAGGCACAUGUGUGAUUAGUGUCAAUAAACUGCUUAAAUACAGGUAUAUGGGAUAUUUUAUGACAAGAAAAGUGUCCUAAUCUAGCAUGAAGAAUAGAGAAAGGAAUUUUUAUUAUGAAAUUUGCAAAAAAUGUAGUUUCUUUAUACAUUUUUAAAACUCUGCAACUUUUAUAGUGAGAUUGAAGCAACUUUAUUACAAACAGAGUCAACAAAGGACUGAAUAUUGGAAAUAGAAAAACUAUUAUUGUCUAGAAUAUAUAAUCCACUUAUUAUUUGGUCAACAACUAUAAUGGACAUAUUCUUUUGGUCCUGAAAGAAGCAACAUGAUAAAUAAAACUGUACUGUCAAGUUGGUAUGUUUAAGCAAUUUAGACAAAGAUUCAUAUUAAAAUAAGGAACAAGGAGAACAUCAAUUAAUUUCAUAUGUGUGUGCAAAGCAACAUUUUCAAUGUGUGAGACCUGCGGAAGAGCCAUUUGGCAAAUGCACUGUUACUGGUGUAGAUGCAAAACAUAUAGAUAUCAUAUGAUGCUUAUAUGGUGUGACAUAAUCUAAUGCACCAGUAUCAAUGAUCCAUAUCUGUGUUCCGGUUACCAUAGCACAAGAAGCAAAAACUAAAGAAAUUUUAUGAUUGAAGGAGCUGAAGUUAUUACCAGAAUAAUUGGUUGGAUUGUAAGAGUAGGCUAAAUGCGAAUUAACUGUAUUUAUUAUAGCAACCGCUUUACCUUUGACCAGCCUUCUCAUUUCCUGCCGUAGUAGUUCGAGCUUUGUAUUAACUUCAUCUAUUUUGCUUAAUUCGGUGAUAACGAUCGAUUCAGCACCUGCCAGUGGUGUUUCUAGGAUUGAUUCUACAUUGUGAUCUUCAGCGUGUGAGAUGUGAACUGUGUACCUCGGUUUGAAUGCUCCUGGAUUGGUGAAUUGUUUGUUCUUGUUCUUAAACCAUUAUGGAUAGCCGAUCAAUUUGAAGCAUUCAGCUCGUGUAUGUCCAUCUAAAUUGUAGUAUUCACAGUGGCCCUUCCUCGCUUCAUAGUUCCUAUAAUCUCGCCUGUUGCCUUAAGAUCGAACAACUAAAGCAGCUACCUCAGUGUACUGUGAGGUUGGAUGGACUUCCUUUUGAGACUCUACAUAGCAUUACUUGACUACGAACUUGAUUAAAACUAUCAUUGAGCCCCAUCAGAAAUUGCAUCAGAUGAUCUGCAUUGUGGAUUUCUGCUUCUCUGAUCUGCAAUUGCAUGGAGAUAUCGGCACAAUGUUGGCCAAUUCGUCUCACAGCUGCUUCAAUUUGCCGUAAUAUGUCGUCACAGAGAGAUUAUCUUGGGAGAUCGACGCUAUUCUUCCCUUGAUUUUGAUAGAUCAUCGGUCUAUUGCUUUCGUCGUAUCGUUUUUCCUAAUUCGACUUAGAGAUCUCGAGCAGUGGUGGCAUAGAGGAAACUUUCGACAAUGUCCUUCGAAAUAGAAUUGAGGAUCCAUAAUGUCACCGUAUAGUUGCAUCGCCUCCAUCUGUCAUAAUCUUCAGAUCCGUCCUCAGGAGUUUCCCUUCCACAAACGCGAGUUUGUUCUUCGCACCGAGAGUGAUUUUCAUCGCUCAAUUCCAUUCUCUGUAAUUAAUUUUGUUUAAUUGAACAGAGACGAGAACCAUCGCCGGGUUAUCUGAAUUUUGCAGCGCCAAGGUAUCGUCCAUGAUUGUUUUGGAGAUCGUCGGAACCAAAUGGCUCUGUGACUGGCCCUGUGACCUAGCAGAGCUGCUCUCUGGCAUUUCUCAUUGUGAGGAAAUAUUUCGGGAGGGAGAAGAGAAGAAGCUAGGUAAAUGGCUGUGGUACCAUCUUGGUAAGUCUACAAUAUACAAGAUACCUAUUUAUAGAGUGUCUAGGACCUAUAGACUACUAAUCAAAUAUACUAGAACCUAUUAGAAUAUUCUUUAAUACACUAGAAUACUAUAUACUAACAUCAAUAAUUUGUUAGAAAAAAAAGUAAAAAGUAAUGCUGAUUGCACUUUAAGUUUGCUGAAUAUAUUUUAAAUUUUUAUAAAUUGCCAAAGUUAUGUGAGAGUAACUCUAUAAUUUUAUGAAAAUUUAGAGUACAUUCCACAAAACUUAGCGCACAGUAAGUAAUAAGUGGGACC
rnacentral:lncRNA from 1 species